CGCGACGACAUACCUCAGCUUGUGAAUUACUGUCGUGAUUCCCCCUAAGGGACAGAGUUCAUCAUCAUCCACAUCCACGAUCAAGACGACGAGCAUCGACGGCCACGACAACGACAACCAACACCUUUCAAAUAUAACGAGAUUUAUACCAUAAGAUGGAUUUCCAAACGACACUGAUUUACGGUGGUGUGGUGGUUGUUUCCGCGGCUGUUAUUUUUCUGGUAUCAGUUCUGGGUAUCAAAGAAAAAUCUUAUGAAGAAGCUAUCGCUGAACAACGGAAACUUCCUGAUGAUUUGCUAUUAGGCAAGAAAGACAAGGGUAAAGAUAAAAAACAUAAAAGUAAGACGGGUAAAAAAGUUAAGGAGAAGAAAGACGAUAAAGAUGAUAAGGAUGAUAAGCAGGAGCAUGUACAAUUUGAGGACACUCCUCAAAUUUUACCGGACAUAAAUGUUCAGGAUGUUGGCAAGGGGAAUAAGAAGAAGAGUAAGCCUGAAAAGGUGAAACCAAUCCUUGUAAAUAAGGAUGAGUCACCAGUUGUGACAGAGUCAAUAGCUUCCCAGCCUCCGCUGGUAAAUGUCAAUCAUUUUGAUGUCAUUCACCCAAAGGACGACCUUGAAUUAAUUCGGAGUCAAAGUAAGGAAAAUCUCCAGCAAGCGACUCAGUCAGAGCCGGUGACAGGAAAGUCAUCGCCAAGAGAAACUCCAACGAAAUCAAAAAAGAAUGUUGUUAAAGAACCCGUUAAGAAAAAGGAAGAAUCUAAAGAUGAUAAAAAAGAAUCAAACGUAAAUGUUAAUGCAGCCGUCCAACAGACAGUAGUAAAAGCUUCAGCGUCACUUGCUGAGCAAGCUCCUACUGCCAAGGAAUUUAAAGAACCGCAGCAAAAAGAUGUACAACAACAAAAAGAUACCGCGAUUUCAGUGCAACCGACAAACAAAGAAGUCAAUAAAAAAAAUAAAAAGAAAAAUGACAUUCUCGCUCAAAUAGGUGGGGACAAGGAUGGAAUAAAUGUGUCUCUAUUGAUGCCGCUGGUGCAAAAAGCCGAGUUGAGUCGGUCAGAAAUUCAGAUUCUCAUUGACUUGUUGUUGAACAAACAACUGGAUAACCCACAGGAGGUCACCGAGUGGACUGAAGGCCGCGCGGAUCCGGUAAUAAAACUAAAGAAACAACUCAGCGAGAAGGAAAAAGCCCUGUCUGAAGAGCACGAAGCCAGCUUGACUUACCAGAACAAAUUGAAAGAACUCAGAGCUGAAUUGAAUUCAGAGAGGUCUAGGUUAACCGGUAGUUUAAAGCAACUCGAGGAGGCGCUCAAUGCCAAGAUAACUGAAGCACAAACUCUGCACACGCGUAUGCAACACAUACUUGAAAGUCAUGCCGCUGAAAAACAAGGAUUCGCCCGUCAAAUUGAACAGCUCCAGGCUAAGGUCAAUGAGGAUGCCGCGAUUAUUCAUAAGAUGCAGGAAGAUCAAGGUCAGACGCAAGGACAUCUUCAGCAAGAAUUGAUAGCUCAGCGCAAGCAGCUUGACAUGCAGUUUGCUCAGAUGCGGGAAAAUGAAAACUUGUUGAAGAAUCAAUUGACGCAAAAGCAAUUGGAGCUUGAGCAAUUCCAGGGUGUUCACAUAACUGUCACUCAGGAAUUAACGGCUACGGUCGAAUCCAGCUCAAGUGAGAUUGAUAUGCUGAGACAACAGCUCGGCAUGAUGCAGGAACAGUUCAUGCACUCGGAAGCACAAUUGCAGAAUUUACGCGAGUCCGACGUACGUCUUCAGGAAAUGGCACGACAACUCGAAGAAUCGCAUCGCGCAAACGCUGAUCUUGACCAUCGCCUUAAAAAUCUCCAUCGCCAUGAACAGGAAUUGCAGAAACAGGUUCACUCAUUGCAGAAUGAAUUGAAGGUUGUCAAGGCUGAGGCUGGUGACGCGACUGCUUUGAAUGGGGAAUUAAAUAAAGUCCAAACGGAAUUGAAUAAAUUAAAGUCUGAUUUGUCUGUGUCACAAAAUGAAGCCAAAACAGAAGCUAUAGAAGUAACAAAUUUGAAAAAUUUACUUUCUGAUAAAGAAGAAGAAGUUAAAAAACUCCAGCAAGAUUUACUUAAAGCUCAACAGGAAGUUCAAAAGAAUGACGCUGUCAUUAAAAAUUUGGAGUCGGCGUUGAACGAGGCCCGCAAUGAAUUGACCAAAGCGCGCGCUGAGUUGACUAAAGCUGUGGAGGAUUUGAAACAGGAAAAGAAUAGAGUAAAGAACUUAAUGGAUGAACUUAAGAAUCUUAAGGCAGUGGAGAACAAUCAAGCAACCGGUGACGUUAAAUUAUUGAAAGCCGAAAUAGAACAAUUGCAGAAUGGCGACAAAAAAUCAAGUGCCAUUCAUCUGGAAAUAAUAAAACUCCAGGAAGAGAAUGAGCGACUUAAAGACAUGCAGCGAACGCAAGAAGAUCACGGUCAGAUUGACGCCUUGAAGAGCGAGUUGAUGAAGAAACAGACUGAAUUUAAUCAGCUCAAAGCUCAAGUCGAAUCUCUACAACGCGACGCAAAUAACCACUCGAGUUUAACUAAACGAUUGCAGGAUGACUUGGAGGCCCAGCGAUUAAAGAACAACGAAUUACGUACUAAGAACUGGAAAGUGAUGGAAGCUCUUUCAGCCGCCGAGUCGCGUGUUAAAUCCAAUCCCAGGAAAUCUAUUGACGAAAGCAUUGAGUCGGUAAAAAAUAAAGAACAGGAGACAACAAAAUCUUUAUUGCAGAGGAUAUUCCCCGAGAUCUCUGUCACUGAAAAAUCAUUCGAUAAAUGGCUGACGAGUUUUGAGGAACGGGUCCAAGAUGUUUUGCAAAAUAAAAAUUACUAUGAGUCACAAGAUGUUAAUUCAGAAUUAGAAAAACAAAAUAAAAAUUUACAAGGCUUGGUCGCUCACUAUAAGCAAAUUAUUAUUGAUACCGAGGGAAUGCUUAAUAAUCUUCAAAAUAAUGUAGAAUCCGAAGAGUCAAGAUGGAAAGCAGGUUUGCGGCAAAAAGAAAACGAAGUUAUUAGUCUUAGAUUAGAAUUACAAGAAAUUAAAAAUAAAACAACAAUAAACGAUAAGAUUCACGAACAAAAGGACACGUGUCGUGACAGUGAUGGAGUUGAAUUUGCAUUUAGUUGCAUUGAAAAGUCUCUGCCGACUAUAACUAAAGAGCUUCAAGAAAAAAUAUCACAAUUAGAGUCGAGAUUGAAGGAAGAGGAAGCGCUGAAAGAUAAAGCAAAUUUAGUGACAGUAAAAACAACCUACACUUCGCCAAUUAAAACUGUUAAUUUUGCCAACGUUGAACAGCUGCAAGAGGAAAAACAGAGAUUAUCACAAGAUUUGGAGACUGAACGUACGAAAAAUAAAGUGCUGGACAACGAGCUGGGUAAACUGCGUUCGCUGGUUGAAAACAGUGAAGCCACUUUAAAUCAAGAGAAAACUUUAGUCUCGAAACUUCAGCAAGAAGUCUCUCGACUGAAGAAUGAAGCUACCGGAGCUUGCAGUAGUCUCGAUCAGUCUGUGAACGGACCUUCAUCGGAGUUCAUGAAGCCAGAGCAGAUGAGAGCGACCCAGUCUCUGUUAGCUGCAAUAGAAAAAACCCUUAUCAAGAACCCGGAACCCGAAAACUGUUCCAUAACCAGCACCAAAUUGGUUGUCGAGUCACAACAAGAUUACAACCGUGACUCAUUUACCUCCGAAUUAAAUUCCGAUAAUUGUCAUACGGCAGCUUAUGACGUACAAUCUAUUAACGGUCAACAACAUAAAAAACACAAGAAAAAGAGGAAGGUAAAGCAAUAAAAAAACAAAUGGCCAACCUUUUUAUUGGUCCAAGUGUUGCGGGAAAGUAUUACUGGCUCGAUUAAAUUUUAAAAUGACAGUUGGUGCAUCUUUACUUUUGGGUGGUUCAGGAAAAAAGUAACGUCAAGAGCAAAGCUGCGCUAGCGAAAAACAGUAAAGGAGUUGCGUAGAAUGCAAACUAAACAAUAAAUAAUAAAUAAUUAUAAUAAUGAAGUAAAUAAAUGAAUAGUGUUAUUAGCACAUAAAGUCAAGCUGUGGACGUGACUAAACAGCGACUUUGCUACUGAGAAGACUAAAAUAAUAAUAAUAAUAAUAAUAAUUAAUUAUGGAUAAUGUUUAUUAUAAAAAAUAUAUCAUAUUUUAUUAUAUGAAGAAUUGAUAAAAAAAAAAAUAUUGAUAAUAAUAACAGUAAAUAAUUAAAAAAAUAAAUAAAGGCGUAGGUAAUGAGGCAGGAAAAUCAUGAGAGAUUUAGUAGACGGUAACAAAUUAAAUACUUGAAAAAUAAACACGUUUUUUUUUUUUUAUUUUGAACCAACGAUU